UAGCUAAGUUCCUGGGUAUAUAACUUCUACAAAUAUUGCUAUCAUGAAGAGACUGCCAAGUUGCUUCGAUGUUAAUUAUAUAAUGCCAUUUCGCUCACAUUUCUUUCUUUAGUUAUGAGUUCAAUUCCAUUUUUAAGCUUCGGGUGAAAUAAUACUCCCAAAACAUUUGGUAUUUGAACUUAUUUUUUUUCCAAGUCCACAAUAGUUAUAUUGAUACUGAAAUAGACAUAAGUAUAGUAUCAUAUAACUUGGUUUUUCAAUACUCAGUGCUUUUCCUCUUCCCCUCUCCCCUUUCUAUUUUAUUAUAUAUAUAAUGUGUGAGGGCCUUGUGCCCUACAAUUAUAAUAGAAUGAUAAGACACGAGAAGAGAAUUUUUCUUUUGUCUCCAUAUACUGAUUGAUACUAGGGAUACUACCGAAGCUACGUCUGCAUGACUGAGACAAUGGCAUUACUCAUACGAACAAUAUCAGUGUUUUGGUAACUGCAAUUGAUAUGUUUCAACUAUGUCAACCAACUACCAGUUGAUACCUUAUGAACUGAUUGAUGCUAAAAAUAUCAAUGGUACUAGGAACCUAUUUGCAUGCAAAUACCCCUCUAACCUCUUUUAUAGAUCAUUGCUGCCGCACAAGCUGGAAGACACAACGAAAAAAGAGAAAGUUAUGGAGAUUCUUUGAUUAUUGAUCCAUGGGGAACGGUCGUAGCUCGUCUUUCAGAUCAUUUGGCCACCGGAAUUGCAGUAGCUGAUAUCGAUCUCGCAAAGAUUGAUUCCGUGAGAAACCGAAUGCCUCUCUCUUCUGUGGUGCGCAAGAGAAAAAAGGCAAGCAGACGGAGAAAUCUCCCCAGCUUCCAAUGUCUUCAAAGAAGAACAAAUCAAUGUUUAGCAAACCCUACCUGGCAAAAAGUUUAGACUGGGACAGAGAUUUUCUUACAAGUGAAGGUGUUCUGGAUUAUGAUGAACUGGCUAGCCUAAACAGCACGUUCAGCAAGAUUGAAGCAAGCUCACUUUCUGUAAUUCCUGAGUCAAAAAUAUCAACAGAGACGAAUUCAACUUUAUGCGAUGAUGAUAGCUCGGCCUUGGAGAACCUCGAAUUUCAUUUGUUUGAAAAAAAAAGUGCUUCCAUUAAGACUCUUGGUACUCGUGUAAGGACUUCAGGAUCGGAAAAAUUAAACAAGAACAUUCCAAGAAAGGGUCGCACAAGGUCUCUUGAGUUGCCAACCAAAGUCGAAGUUUCUCAGUAUAAGAAAAAGUCUCUUGUAGUACCAGGACAGUACGGCACUAUCAACCAUCGUCUUCAGAACACUUCCAGAUGGGUUACAGCCGUUGCCAAGGCAGGUCAUGAGGGACUUACUGGUGGAAAGACAGUCUCAAAGCCAACUAGUGCUUUGCCUAAAUCAAAUCUGUUGACAGUGCCAGCCAAGACAAUUUGUGCUUCAGGAAGCAUCCAAAUAGGAACUAGAGGAUCCAAAGAAAAAUCAGGCGAUGUAGCGGUGCAAAAAGUUGUAGCUUUUAAGCAAUUCAACAAAGGCUCAUCCGGCAGCGUUUUAAAGCCCCAAGCAUCAAAAGCUACCUCGAAUUCGACCAGCGGUUCUUCACGCUGGACGCAUAACUCUCCACCAGAGAAUACAAGGAUGAGAUGUACUUCUCAGACUACCAGUCACUCCUCUUCUGGAUCAAUGGCUAAUAAGGCAUCCUCAUCUAAAUCAAAUACUAAUCAAGCAUUCUCAAAGAGUAGCACAGCUAGAACAGUCCACACUAGUGCAAAUAACUCCUCGACAGCUCGAGGUUUAUCUGUCGAGCUAUCUUUACCUGCAACUCCAAGUAGCUCCUGCCACAAUGUUGGUUCAGUAUCAUCAGCAUUCUCAAAGAGUAGCACAGCUAGAACAGUCCACACUAGUGCAAAUAACUCCUCGACAGCUCGAGGUUUAUCUGUCGAGCUAUCUUUACCUGCAACUCCAAGUAGCUCCUGCCACAAUGUUGGUUCAGUAUCAUCUUCAUCGACCAUCUGUCCUGUUAAAUCAGUAAUGAAUGGUGAUGAAGCUAGUUCUUCAACCUCAUCACUAGUGGCAGUUGAUGCUAACAAAAUCCAUACAACAAAUUCUAAGUCAUCUUUUGAUCCUGUAAACUCAGAAGACGACUCAUGCAUAUCACAUAUUUCAAAAAAAUCCAUAAAUAAUCAUGCAAUGGCAACAUCUCGUAAAGGAAACAAUUCAAAGAACAGCCCUGGCAACAGAACAGGAGCAAAAUUGGGCAAACCUUCAGGUCCCAUUGUGCCACACUCUAAACUUGCUAACUCAGAUUUGAAGAAACCUGCCAACCGCAACGUUGGAACUCUUCCACAGACUAGCCCACAGCCCAAACUUCUGAAAGCCACAAGCCAAACAAAUAAGAGUGAUGCAGCAAACAAAGCAAAACCGACCAUGCCCCAACAUGCCAGACCUGCAACUAGGAACAAGACCAUGAAUGGUCAUUUAAGGACUACUGCUUCAUCCCGCUCUUCGAGCAUGGAAUCCCUACCAUUUGUCCAGUUUGAGCCCAGUGCUUCCAACGGCUCUUAACUCUUUUGCAGUUUUGCAACAUGACAGCCCAUUCAAGGUUUUCGGAUUCACAGAACCGAUUACACUCAAAGCUUGAGCCAUUCCUGAUUUACCAGAAUCACGGAAAUAUACAGCCAGACAAGCUGCAAUCAUCAUUUGAAUGAACAUAUGCAACAAAGACCCAACUGCGCCUGAAUGAUCUUAUUCACAUCUUUGUUCUGGAGAAGAAGAUUUAAUUGCCAUUUCUGUUGU